CAGAGAAUAGUUUAUUUAAAAUAUUAACUUUGGAAGUUAAAGAAGAAUAUUAAUUUUUCUCUGA
rnacentral:tRNA from 1 species